rnacentral:rRNA from 1 species
CUACGGGGGGCUGCAGUCGGGAAUAUUGCGCAAUGGAGGAAACUCUGACGCAGUGACGCCGCGUAUAGGAAGAAGGCUUUCGGAUUGUAAACUAUUGUCGUUAGGGAAGAUAAAAGACAGUACCUAAGGAGGAAGCUCCGGCUAACUACGUGCCAGCAGCCGCGGUAAUACGUAGGGAGCAAGCGUUAUCCGGAUUUAUUGGGUGUAAAGGGUGCGGAGACGGGUAGACAAGUUAGUUGUGAAAUCCCUCGGCUUAACUGAGGAACUGCAACUAAAACUAUUUUUCUUGAGUGUUGGAGAGGAAAGUGGAAUUCCUAGUGUAGCGGUGAAAUGCGUAGAUAUUAGGAGGAACACCGGUGGCGAAGGCGACUUUCUGGACAAUAACUGACGUUGAGGCACGAAAGUGUGGGGAGCAAACAGGAUUAGAUACCCGUGUAGUC